rnacentral:rRNA from 1 species
UACAGAGGCCACAAGCGUUAGACGGAAUCACUGGGCUUAAAGCGUGUGUAGGCGGGAUGGUAAGUACCUUGUGAAAUCCCACAGCUUAACUAUGGAAAUGCUUGGUAUACUGCCGUUCUUGAGUCACCUAGGGGCAGCUGGAACAGAUGGUGGAGCGGUGAAAUGCAUAGAUAUCAUCUGGAACGCCAAUGGUGCAGACAAGCUGCUGGGGGUGUACUGACGCUGAGGCACGAAAGCCAGGGGAGCAAACGGG